rnacentral:precursor_RNA from 15 species
AUAUAGUAAUAUAUACUGCCUACAAUGGCCCUUAGUUUUCGACGUGUUUUGGUGUGCAGGGGAGUUCUAUUCCGAUUGAAACCGUCCAAAACUGAGGCCAACUGUGAGGCGUGAGCAUCUAAAAAUUA